rnacentral:rRNA from 1 species
UACGUAGGUGGCAAGCGUUGUCCGGAUUUACUGGGCGUAAAGAGCGCGCAGGCGGUCGUGCAAGUCGCGUGUGAAAGCCCCCGGCUCAACUGGGGAGGGUCACGCGAUACUGCUCGACUCGAAGGCAGGAGAGGGAAGUGGAAUUCCCGGUGUAGCAGUGAAAUGCGUAGAGAUCGGGAGGAACAUCUGUGGCGAAGGCGACUGCCUGGACCAGCACUGACACUGAGGCACGAAAGCGUGGGGAGCAAACAGG